ACGAGCCGAAGAGGACGGUCUUUUGCAGCAGCUCUCCGUGUGCCCCUCGUGUCCUGGGCAGUCCGUGGGUUCAGCUCUGAUCCUGCCUUGCUCUCACCCCAUGUGUGCGCACUGCAUAGAAGCAGAGAGGACGAAGUCAGAAGCCGCUCUUUAUCCCGGACUAAACCCCUGUGCAGUGCUGUGCUCCUGCUGUGGACGUCCUGUAGAAUUGCCAUGUAGGACUUGGUCUUCUGCCGUUUCCUGCCUCCCGAAAUAUCCCAGACUGAGCUCUGGACAUCCCGCUGAGGAGAGAGGGGAUUCGGCUCAGCAAAAUGAACAGGACAUUUCUAACAGACACAUCAGGACAACUCCGGGUCCUUCAGAAGCUGGAAUGCCUCUCCACUCAGCCACUCCCUCAUACUGUCCAGCAGAUGGCGACACAGACAUUCAGGAUGAGGAGAUGGAGCAGACCGUACAUGGUCUGUAUUUUGCUUUGGACUCCUCCCACGUCCCUCCAUCCAUCCGUCUCUCCAACUCAUCCCGGACGGCCACAUACCAGGCUCAGGACCAGCCUCGCCGGCCGGAUCGGAACGCUCGGCGGUGCAGCCCAUGGCCGAGCUGAGAGGAGACGUCCUGAUUGGACAGGGGCAGUAUUACUGGGAGGUGGAUGUCUGUAACAGCGCCCUCUACAGGAUCGGUGUGCGCUCCCUGGACACUUCUCGUGGCUGGUGGUUGGAAAGACGAGGCUUUCAUUUUUCGUGCGUGUACGACGGAGCGGUGGAGCCCGUCUACAGCGUACCCCCCGGGAUCAAAACCAUCGGACUGUUCCUCAACACCAACGGAGGCGCGUUGAGUUUCUACAACGCCCUGUCCCAGGAGCACCUGGCCACGUUACCCACCCGGUUCGGCCCGGGGGGACUGGUGCCGGCGUUCGGUUUGGGACAGGGCAGGCUGAAGAUGCGCUCCGGCCUCCCCCCGCCGCCUCUGGUCUUCCACAGUAAGGACUCCAGAUACAGCGGGACACGGAGCUCAGAGGGGGCGGUGUGGCGGAGGGGGGUAGCCUUCGGGUCGGUUCGGAAGGUGGUGGAGAAGUUUGAGGGGCUGGCUUUGUCGCGGUGACGUUUGGAGUAUUUAGUAUACUGUCCUGUUAUCUUGAUGAAGGGGUGUCCAGGACGGUCCUACCAGCGGCUCUCUAUGUGCCCAGUGUGAGUCUGUGAGUCAUAAAAACAUUGUUCACAGUCUGCAAACAAUCUGGUCAAUAAAGAAAGUAUAGAACAUUUAGAUCAAAUUUAGUACCCAUUUAGUUCUGUACUUAGUUAGUUUCUUCACCUUCCCAGUAAACGUUUUGUUUCAAAUUGCUUGUGGUUCGAAAGGUUCUGUGUAAACAAACAAAAAAGUGGUUCUUGUAGUAAUUAAUUAAAAAAGGGAACAAAGAAACCAAAAAUAUUUUCCAAUUGUAGAUCCAGAAAAUCACUAGGCAGUCCCACCACAACAACAACAACAACAAAAUACUCGACUGAUGGGAUUAAUAAAGAAUAUAAAUCUGCUUUAUAGUUUUCCUUCAUAGUUCUUGAAAAAGAUGAAUGCAGCUGGCUACAAGCCUGUAGGCAUCACUACCCUGGAAGAUCAUAAAGGUUUCCAUCUCAUAACAACUCCCGAAUAAGAUUAAAUGUUUAUCAGUGUUUCUUUUUUCCAUUCUGAAAUGGAAAUAAUGACUAAUUUUCCCCCCCGCAACAUUUAGUUCAUUUCAAUAAAACGCCUUUUGUACACUCCACUAUCCUUAAAGGGAUAUUUCAGGAUUUUUGACACAGGGCCUCAUUUCCUAGUUAUCCAGAGUGUUGUUAAUGUCUGGAGAUAUUUUUUUCUUUAAUUCAUGUUCUUAUAUUUGAAGAGUCUAGUGGCGCUAGGCUAGGGCAAGGCUAAAGCAUUUCUAUGGUAUCAGUUAGCCUGCAUUAAAAACAGUCAGGCGCACUCCAGAGUGCACCUGAGGUAAAUCACUUAUAACGUAUAACUGACCUUGUAACACAUGAAUUACCGCAUUAUGAAGGACUAUUUUCUCGCAGAUCACUCCGCCGCUGCGUUAGCUUACAGCCACGAAGCUGAUGCUGCUCAAAUAUAAGUUAUGUUAAAUGCAAAAUGGUUAAAAUGAUUCUAUCGACACAGACAUUUAUAUUGUUAGUGAUUAUAAGUGAUUUGCCUCAGGUGCACUGUGGAGUGGGUCAGACUGUUUUUAAUGCAGGCUAACUGAUACCAUAGAAAUGCUUUAG
rnacentral:lncRNA from 1 species